rnacentral:rRNA from 1 species
AACGAACGCUGGCGGCAUGCCUAACACAUGCAAGUCGAACGAGACCUUCGGGUCUAGUGGCGCACGGGUGCGUAACGCGUGGGAACCUGCCCUUAGGUUCGGAAUAACUCCCCGAAAGGGGUGCUAAUACCGGAUAAUGUCUUCGGACCAAAGAUUUAUCGCCUUUGGAUGGGCCCGCGUUGGAUUAGCUAGUUGGUAGGGUAAAAGCCUACCAAGGCGACGAUCCAUAGCUGGUCUGAGAGGAUGAUCAGCCACACUGGGACUGAGACACGGCCCAGACUCCUACGGGAGGGAGCAGUGGGGAAUAUUGGACGAUGGGCGAAAGCCUGAUCCAGCAAUGCCGCGUGAGUGAUGAAGGCCGUAGGGUUGUAAAGCUCUUUGACCCGGGAUGAUAAUGACGGUACCGGGAGAAUAAGCACCGGCUAACUCCGUG